GUUCCAACUGGUGUAAAGUUUUGAUUUAUUGAUAACUUCCUGCAUUUCAGUUGAUAGCCAAAUGCUAUUGAGAUGUGGAAAACGUUGUCUGAUCCGAUCAGCUAGUUGCAUGUACACUUCAAAUUCAACCACCUUCAUUUCACAUGCCUUGUCUCCCAUUCUUACAUGCAUGCUUAGCAUUGGCCUAGGAAUCCAUGGUUUGUGGUUUGACCAUACAAAUUCUUGAAUAUCUGAUCUUGGCUUGUUUCUGACUUCCUUUGGCCAUUUAUCACCUAGACUUGCAAGAACCAUCUUUGCAACUUC
rnacentral:misc_RNA from 1 species